rnacentral:rRNA from 1 species
AUGACGGCGUCAACACAGCGCUCCACAGUUGUGUCAGCUGCUACUCGUCAGGUUAUUCCUCCCGAUCUCCUCCCUUCUUGUAACCUCCAGUCCUCCUCGAUCUCACUCUCCUCCCUCUCCUCUGCGCCCGCCGACGUAGGCCGCGUCUCCGUGUCCUUGGCCAUGCCGGCGGCGGCAGCGAUGCGGUUUGGCGUCGGCGCCGACGGAGUUCUCCUUGCCCAUCAAUCCCGUGUCUGGACCAAGCACGACACCACCUCGGUGUUGAAUGCCGUGACAAUGCCCGCCCGGGCUCAAACCCCCCUCCCCCACGAGCUCCUCCUCGACGCGCCGCCACCCACGCUCAGACCUCGGCGCCACCCAUGGCCUCCGCCCACGCUCCCCGCCCUCUCCCCUCCCCUCCCCUUCCUAUCGAACCACCAGAUCGAGCGGCGGCCAGAUCCAUCCGCCACGGUCGCCCAGGGCUCGCGCGCCUCCUCCGACGCGGCUGUGCCCGUGCGUCAAGGGCCUGCUCGGAGAUGCUUCUACUCCGCCAUGGCCAUGGAGCUUCCUCCCAAUCCAAGGUCUUGGACUGGACGGGGACGGCUGCUCUUCGAAAGUCUCGUCUCUUCUCUUCCGAUCCAUCCAUCCCACACCCCAUUCUAUUUGCAUAUCUGUAGAUACAUAUUCAGAUCAAACUGA